CACGUAGGGGGCGAGCGUUGUCCGGAAUCAUUGGGCGUAAAGAGCUCGUAGGCGGCUCAGUAAGUCGGGUGUGAAACCCUCAGGCUCAACCUGGGGACGCCACCCGAUACUGCUGUGACUAGAGUCCAGUAGGGGAGCGUGGAAUUCCUGGUGUAGCGGUGAAAUGCGCAGAUAUCAGGAGGAACACCAGCGGCGAAGGCGGCGCUCUGGGCUGGAACUGACGCUGAGGAGCGAAAGCGUGGGAGCGAACAGG
rnacentral:rRNA from 1 species